rnacentral:rRNA from 1 species
GAGUUUGAACCUGGCUCAGGAUGAACGCCGGCGGUGUGCCUAAUACAUGCAAGUCGUACGCACUGGCCCAACUGAUUGAUGGUGCUUGCACCUGAUUGACGAUGGAUCACCAGUGAGUGGCGGACGGGUGAGUAACACGUAGGUAACCUGCCCCGGAGCGGGGGAUAACAUUUGGAAACAGAUGCUAAUACCGCAUAACAACAAAAGCCACAUGGCUUUUGUUUGAAAGAUGGCUUUAGCUAUCACUCUGGGAUGGACCUGCGGUGCAUUAGCUAGUUGGUAAGGUAACGGCUUACCAAGGCGAUGAUGCAUAGCCGAGUUGAGAGACUGAUCGGCCACAAUGGAACUGAGACACGGUCCAUACUCCUACGGGAGGCAGCAGUAGGGAAUCUUCCACAAUGGGCGCAAGCCUGAUGGAGCAACACCGCGUGAGUGAAGAAGGGUUUCGGCUCGUAAAGCUCUGUUGUUGGAGAAGAACGUGCGUGAGAG